CCUACGGGUGGCAGCAGUGAGGAAUAUUGGUCAAUGGGCGCGAGCCUGAACCAGCCAAGUCGCGUGAGGGAGUACUGACCUAUGGGUUGUAAACCUCUUUUGUCGGGGAGCAAAAGCCGGACGUUUCCGGCUGUGCGAGUACCCGAAGACAAAGCAUCGGCUAACUCCGUGCCAGCAGCCGCGGUAAUACUGAGGAUGCGAGCGUUAUCCGGAUUUAUUGGGUUUUAAGGGUGCGCAGGCGGAUUUUUAUGUUAGCGGUCAAAUCUUGGGGCUCAACCCCAUCCAGCCGUUGAAACUGGGGAUCUAGAGUGAGCGAGAGGUGUGUGGAAUGCGUGGUGUAGCGGUGAAAUGCAGAGAUAUCACGCAGAACCCCGAUUGCGAAGGCAGCAUACCGGUGCACAACUGACGCUCAGGCACGAAAGCGUGGGGAUCGAACAGGAUUAGAUACCCCAGUAGUC
rnacentral:rRNA from 1 species